CUGUAAUGCCUCUGUAAAGCCACCUUUCAACAUGCUCCAUUUGCUGUGCUUUCAAAGACUCAGCUGUAUUAUUGCCUUCAUAAGAUUCAGCCCCAAAAGAAAAAUAGAAGAUGGAAGCACCAACCAUAUCAGGAAUUUGGUAGAGAAUUUGACCCAUCUCUUCUAGAGAUGAUCCACCCUUUUUUGAUGCAACCGUUUCUUGUACUUUCAGAAAUAAAGUUAAAACUAACACUUGAUUGAAGAAAAAAAAACAAUAAAGAGAG
rnacentral:lncRNA from 1 species